GUGCCUUUAUUUGAUAGACUUCAGAAAAUACCAAUGCGGUGCGUUUUAUAUUGCUAGGCAACCACUGAGGCAGCUGUCCUGUCAAUCAAACAUUGAAGCGUGAGCGCUCUUCACAUUUUGGUUUGCUGUUAACUGUCAUAUUAGCAGAAGCUGUCAUAAGAAAUAAGAGAAAUAAGAGGACGCUUGCUCUGACCUUAAUCGAGGUUGAGAGGUGCACAAACACGCAGUAGAAGUUACUGUUGGGCAGAUUUUGACUCAAUCUGAAGAUCAAACAGUGUAGCCUGGUCAAACUGUCACUAUUCAGUGUAAACAUACACCAGCAAUAAACUGUAUUAAGGAAACAGGUUCCACUCAGUAUUGUAUGUCAUGGUACCAUCAGAUUCCUGGAGAAGUUCCUAAACUCCUGAUCUAUCUCACAUCAGACAGAGCUUCAGGUGUUUCUGAAAGAUUCAGUGGCAGUGAGAGUGGAAACCACAUUGAUUUUACUCUGACCAUCAGUAAAGUUCAGCCUGAAGAUUCAGGAGUUUAUUACUGUAUGGCUCAACAUGACAAAGGAGGCAGCAACUGGGUGUUCACACUGUGUUAAUGCGUCAUACAAAAACCUCUACAAUAUUUUACUACUGCAGGUGGAUCUGUCUGAAAGUGUAGUGGGUAAGAAAACAGACUGCUGACAUUCAUACAGAAUUUAAUUAAAAGCUAUAUGUUUUUAAUAUGCUACAUGGAAAGUGUUUUGCAUAUUAUGCUACUUUAGAUACAAAAGUCCAAUGAAGAUCGGCUUUCAGUCCUACAAGGUUUACCCAAAAAGAAUAAUGUCUCCAUUACUUAUUCUGGGUAACUUGUUACUCAAGGUUCAAAUUUUGUAUAAUUAAUCUGGAAAUGUACAAUAAUUUUUUGCAAAGCUUUGGGUUGUUAUGCUUUAUUUACAU